ACUCAAAGGAAUUGACGGGGGCCCGCACAAGCAGCGGAGCAUGUGGUUUAAUUCGAAGCAACGCGAAGAACCUUACCAGAACUUGACAUCUCCUGCAUAAUCCGUAAUGGGAUGAAAUCCUUCGGGACAGGAAGACAGGUGGUGCAUGGUUGUCGUCAGCUCGUGUCGUGAGAUGUUGGGUUAAGUCCCGCAACGAGCGCAACCCCUAUACUUAGUUGCUACCAUUAAGUUGAGCACUCUAAGUAGACUGCCGGAGACAAUUCGGAGGAAGGUGGGGAUGACGUCAAAUCAUCAUGCCCCUUAUGUUCUGGGCUACACACGUGCUACAAUGGGUAUAACAACGGGAAGCAAGCCAGUGAUGGCAAGCCAAUCCCUAAAAAAUACUCCCAGUUCAGAUUGUUCUCUGCAACUCGAGAACAUGAAGUCGGAGUUGCUAGUAAUCGCGAAUCAGCAUGUCGCGGUGAAUACGUUCCCGGGCCUUGUACACACCGCCCGU
rnacentral:rRNA from 1 species